UCUCUCUCUCCUCUCUCUCUUUCUCCCUCUAGCCGCUGAAGGAACUGUGGUGGGUGGUGAGUGUGUACAGAGAAAUUAAUCUUCAGAAAGAAAGAUUCAUUUGCGACCCGGUGAGUCUGGCCGAGUUAGGCGCUAUUCGACUCGGCGGCGGCGGCGGCUGGUUUUGCCGGAGGAAGAAAAACAGAGAGACGAAGACGGAGAAGAAGAUUGAAAUUAAAGGGUGUAUUAUGGGAUUUUGGCAGCAGAUGAUUUUUCCCGUACGCCGUGUUUGGCUCGCCGUUUAUGCCCGCCUUAAAAAUCCCAAAAACGAUCAAGGACUUUUGAAACUUCACGACGAUGUAGAAACAUGCGGCUAUCAAGAUGUGAAGGUGAUGUGGGAGAUACUAAGUAGAUCAGAAACCGAGCUGAUAAAUCACCACCACCAAAUAAGGCGGAAGCACAAAUCUUUUUGGAAGCCUUUGGUGUGGUCUAACCCUAACUCUAACCAUGAUCCAGUUAGAACAACAACUUUUCCAACUUUCGACCCAAUUUCAUAGGGAGACAAGUCAAGUCCUCUCCCAUUUUCAAAUUCCUCGAACAAUAAUGAUGUGAAAAGCUUAUGUUGUAUCCUUGGCAUCCUUGCUUUUUAGGCCAAUUUUGGGCUUAAAGUAAGUGAAGUUUUGUAAAUACAAAUAAUAAUUGCUUCUAAAAGAUUUCUAAUAAAAAACCUGAAAUUAACACUUGAAGGAAUCAUCUUCCCUUUUGUUAAAGCUGUGAUGUAAUGUACCAUUCACAAUGACUUUGGUGCAAA